GAGGUCCGGGGAAACACAGAACCUCAGAUGGUCACUUUCCUGUACCACCUGCCUGCACUCGCACCAAUGACAAGCGCUCCUCGAAUGUGGGAAAGGAUGUUGCUAAGGGAAGGAAAUUAAUUAGACCUUCUAAGGCUAAAUAUGAUGACGUGACCGAUAGCACACAGGUUCCGCGAGGGAAAGGUGAAAAGCAACCAUGAAAAAUGGGUUGAAACAGUAGUGAAAGCGCUACCGGGAUAAAGGCUAUCGGGUGCUGGGGCUUCUCGGGUGUGCUUUAGUGCUACCCUUGGAGACGGCCCGCGUGGGUUGAGUGGGGCGAUAAACGCAUUGAAGGAAUUUGCUGCCUCCGGACAGUGUUGUAGCCUGCGGUUGCUGAUCCCCCUGCAACCUUUUGUAAUUGCUAGUCUUGCGACCGUGAGCCAACCGUCGUGAAACGCGGACCAAGGAAUGCACCUUGCAUGCGAGUCGAAGAGAUCCGAAGCCUGGAAGCGUAACGAACACGACGAUGGAAAAUGUCCUUGUGGCAGACACCCGCACCCGCCUUGUGCAAGGUAUAGCAUGUACGGUGCGACCCGAAAGAUGGUGAACUAUGCCCGGGAAGGGUGAAGCGAGUGGAAACGCUGGGAAGAGGCCUGUAGCGAUUCUAGACAUGCAGAUCAAUCUCGUAACCUGGGUAUAGGGGCGAUAGACCUAUCGAAUGCGUCUGAUGGCUGGUGCCCUCCGAGUCGAAAAGAUGAAAAAAAAUGGUUUCU
rnacentral:rRNA from 1 species